rnacentral:rRNA from 1 species
AGGAUAAACGCUGGCGGCGUGCCUAACACAUGCAAGUCGAACGCGCUUUCGGGCUUCGGUGCGAGAGCGAGUGGCGGACGGGUGAGUAACACAUGGGUACCUGCCUUUCAGUGAGGGAUACCGGCGAGAAAUCGCCGACAAUACCGCAUGGGCUUGUGGGAACACAAGCAAAGUGGCGCAAGCCACGCUGGAAGAUGGGCCUGUGGCCGAUUAGCUAGUUGGGGGGGUAACGGCCUCCCAAGGCGACGAUCGGUAGCUGGUCUGAGAGGACGAUCAGCCACACUGGGAUUGAGAACGGCCCAGACUCCUACGGGGGGCAGCAGUGAGGAAUUUUCCGCAAUGGACGAAAGUCUGACGGAGCAACGCCGCGUGCAGGAGGAGGUUUCGGAUCGUAAACUGCUUUUCUCGGGGACGAGCAAGGACGGUACCCGAGGAAGAAGCCCCGGCUAACUACGCGCCAGCAGCCGC